rnacentral:lncRNA from 1 species
AGAUGACUCGGCCCUCUGGAGACGACUCGUUCUCAUGGUUCCAGAGAUCUAUUUUUCUGCAUUUUUUUCUCGAGUCGACUCGGAUCAUCUUGGAGUCGACUCGGCUCUCAGAGUCCGAAAACUGUUUCUCUGUGUUUUGAGUUGAACUGCCUCGGAGUCGACUCGCACUUUGUUGGAGUCGACUCGGCUCUCAGAGUUCGAAAACUGUUUCUCUGUGUUUUGAGUUGAACUGCCUCGGAGUCGACUCGCACUUUGUUGGAGUCGACUCGGCUCUCAGAAUCCGAAAACUGAUCCUCUGUGUUUUGGCUUGAACUGCCUCGGAGUCGACUCGCACCUUG